GUGGGGAAUCUUAGACAAUGGGCGCAAGCCUGAUCUAGCCAUGCCGCGUGAGCGAUGAAGGCCUUAGGGUUGUAAAGCUCUUUCGUGGGGGAAGAUAAUGACUGUACCCCAAGAAGAAGCCCCGGCUAACUCCGUGCCAGCAGCCGCGGUAAUACGGAGGGGGCUAGCGUUGUUCGGAAUUACUGGGCGUAAAGCGCACGUAGGCGGACUGGAAAGUCAGGGGUGAAAUCCCGGGGCUCAACCCCGGAACUGCCUUUGAAACUCCCAGUCUUGAGUUCGAGAGAGGUGAGUGGAAUUCCGAGUGUAGAGGUGAAAUUCGUAGAUAUUCGGAGGAACACCAGUGGCGAAGGCGGCCACCUGGACCGGUAUUGACGCUGAGGUGCGAAAGCGUGGGGAGCAAACAGGAUUAGAUACCCCUGUAGUCC
rnacentral:rRNA from 1 species